GAUAGACGCUGGCGGCGCACAUAAGACAUGCAAGUCGAACGGAAGUCGUUAUACAAGGAGAGAAGACUUAUCGGAUUGAAUUAUAUAACAAUGGCUUUAGUGGCGGACUGGUGAGUAACGCGUAAGAAAUCUACCUAUCAGAGGGGAACAACAAUGAGAAAUCAUUGCUAAUACCGCAUAUGCCAUAAACAUCGCAUGAUGAAAGUGGGAAAGGAGCAAUCCGCUGAUAGAUGAUCUUGCGUCUGAUUAGUUAGUUGGUGGGGUAAUGGCCUACCAAGACGACGAUCAGUAGCCGGACUGAGAGGUUGAACGGCCACAUUGGGACUGAGAUACGGCCCAGACUCCUACGGGAGGCAGCAGUCGGGAAUAUUGCGCAAUGGAGGAAACUCUGACGCAGUGACGCCGCGUGCAGGAAGAAGGUUUUCGGAUUGUAAACUGCUUUAGACAGGGAAGAGAAAGGACAGUACCUGUAGAAUAAGCUC
rnacentral:rRNA from 1 species